rnacentral:lncRNA from 1 species
AGUGCCUUCAUGUAAAAAGUUAACGUUGUGACGAAAGAACUAACGGACAGGACAGUUGAAAACUAAUAUGCCUCCCUUCGGUGACAUAAAUUCGGGGGCAUAAAAAUUCGUCAUUAUACUGAUUAAGAUUAGGGGUGUGGGGGUUGUGUUUUAAAAAACACUAUCAUUGGGCGUUUUCGACUGGGGAUUUGUGUUAACCACUUCGAUAGCGUUGAGCAGUUUUUUUUUUGUUCGGCUGGGACACUUGAUUCUUUGCGUUGAACACAACUUCUUCCAAAGGAGUACGCUGAAAAAUCAGCGUUAACCUGAUCACGAGACGGAGACAUGGCGUAGUCUGUCAGAAAGGAAAGUGGAAAAGGGUAAUUCUGUUCGUUAGGUUGCUUUGAACUUGUGAAGAAGCUUACAACAAGAAUAAUCUCUUUUGCUGCAUAACCCAGUUGUAAUAGAUAACCCAUUCUAGUGUCAAUAAGCAGUAUUUUCUACAGAAGAUGAAAACCAAUCUGGAAAAGCCGUUCCCAGCUGGAUUCGUACCCUUAUGAGUUGUAGUAAAAAACUGUAUGUCUUGUCCGAAUAUUUGACAAUUUCUUUUUAUCACUUUAAGUCUUAAUAAAUUAAAAGGCAAACGUUGAAUGACUAAGGAUAACAAUUACAUUAGCAUGUGUUGAAUGCUCAAAUACUUAAAAUGCUGCGUUUAUUCCGAUGUCGACAGUAUUAAACACUGUUAAACUUAAGCCCUUAACUUUAUUUUCAGGUACUGGCAGACAGUUACGCUUCAAUAUGCAGAUGGUUAUAAACUUACUGUAACUCUUGACUUGCCUGCAAUCCAGAGAUUACAGAAUGGUUGUAGGUAGAAAGAGUAGACUCAAAAUUAGUUACUGUCAGUUCUGUUCAAGGUGUUUUGAGAACUGCUGUAUAGGACUUAAAAUUGCUUCAGAACUACUGAACUCGGACCCUUGCCUGUCUACCAAAUUAAGGAUUGGGUGGUUUAGGUAAAACAGUGCCACAUAAACUUCUGUUUCUAUUUAUACUUUUUAAAAUAUAUGACCUGCUAUUUUGAUAGAGUAAUAAAUGUGUUUUUUUUUCCAGAUAAUCAGCUGAUGGAAGAAAUAAGAGCCUCAGCUACUACUGCAAUGCCAGGUCUGAUGGAAAAAAUAAGAGCCUCAACUACUACUUCAAUUCCAGGUCACUCAGAAUUGGCACCACGCACCUCUGCCAUGGAUGUAGCUGAAACUGAUGAAAGCAGUACUGGUCCUUCAGAGUAGUCUUUAGAUUCGACUUACAUACACUGGCAAAGAGAGGCGAUACUGUUACUUAUAAGUUUAUACAGGGAAAAUGAAGACCGUUUAGAAUACCCAAAAUUACGGAAAAAAGAUGUAUGGAAAGUUAUAAGUGACAAAAUGAAAAAAAAAGUAGUUAUGAAUUCACACAGAAUAAAGUGGAAAGUAAGUGGCGCAGUUUGCUACAAUCCAAUAAAGACGUGAGAGUUAAUAACACAAGUACCGGAAAGAAGCACAAGACAUUCCAAUACUUUGAAGAAAUUGAAGACAUUGUUGCCAAGAGCCAUGACAUCUAUCCAAAGGUCAAAGCAGGCUCUGAUAUUCAUUCACCAAGCACAAAGACUUUUAAGAACUACUAAGUCUGUUGUUGACCCUUCACCUGAAUCAGGCUCUGAUAUUAAUUCACCAAGUUCGAUUUCUCCAGACACUACUAAGUCUGUUGCUGAUGGCCCAUCUACACCUUAAACUACAAAAAAGAAAGCAAGGAAUGAGAAAAAGCAACAGAAACAAGAUACAGGUCAGCAAAUACUUUCUAAAAGAGAGUGAAAGCAGGCGAAGACAAGAGAGUGAAGACAGAGAGAGAAAACGGGAUGAAAGGGCAAAGGAAAGAAAUGAAAAUUUUAAGCAGAUGCUGGAUGUGCUUAGAAGAUUACAUUUAAACAUACAUCACCUUAUGGUGAUACAAGUUGUGUGCAAGUUUGGUAAAAAUCAAAUUAUAAAUAAAGCUGCUAUUGAGCAGACAAGGUCAAAAUAGCU